AAGAUAGGAAUUGAACCUACAACUAGAAGAUCAAAACUUCUCGAAU
rnacentral:tRNA from 1 species